CCAGGAUCCAGGAAACUCCCUAAAUGUACUAACCUCGCUUUCUGGCUGAACCAAGAGGAUUUGGGUCCCCAGUGAGUAGUUUUGCUUCUUACUUUCUAACUGAAGUGUGUCAACCAAGAUGUGGCUUUUGGGCACAAAAGGCAAAGAAUGGUGAGGCUUGGGUCUGCAUGAUAUGGGCAAGUUCACCAUGCAUCUGCUGGCUGGAAGUACUGCACAUCCGAACCAGCUCUCUUUAGAAGUCAGAUAUCUACUGUGUUCGAGCAGCAGAGAAACAUUUUCUGUCCUCCUGGAAAGAGGCAGCCUAGAAUAGUCUAUAUCAUCUGUACCUGUGGAAGUCAGAACGGUGAGAAAAAAGUCCUAUGAGAAAAAAGCUGUCUCCCAGUGGGAGUCCUGUCCCCACUGUGACAACAGAACCCCCAGGAGAGCAAGCUGGAGGCUGGAGGAGCC
rnacentral:lncRNA from 1 species